CCUAUUAUUUUCUUUCUUAGCGCACUACAAUCAUGUCUUCCUGGCUGUAUCUCCUCCUGCUGGCGGCUUUGCUGGGAGGGAUCCAAUCUGAAAUACAGUUUCUUCAGUCUGGUCCACAAAUAAAAAGGCCUGGAGAAUCAAUACGAUUGACCUGUAAGGCAUCUGGAUAUAACUUCACUAACUAUAGGAUGAACUGGAUCAAACAGGCACCAGGAAAAGGACUGAACUGGGUGGGUACUAUUAGGACAGACAACUUUAAUACAUUCUAUGCUGAAGCUUUGAAAGCUCGAGUCACCAUCACCGUGGACACUUCCAUCAGCACCACAUUUCUGCAAUUGACAAACCUGAACACUGAUGAUACAGCUGUGCAUUAUUGUGGAAGGCACACAGUGGAGAAAACCACAUUCAUAGCCAUUCAUAAAUCCUCAGGAGGAAACUGGCUGCUUUGCUGGAUCCAAUCUGAAAUACAAUUUAUCCAGUCUGGUCCAGAAAUAAAAACACCUGGGGAAUCAAUAUGAUUGACCUGUAAGGCAUCUGAAUAUACUUUCACUGACUACUACAUCCACUGGAUCAAACAGGCAGGAAAAGGACUGAACUGGGUGGGUACUAUUAGGGCAGACAACUUUAAGACAUUCUAUGAUGAAGCUUUGAAAGCUCAAGUCACCAUCACUGUCGACACUUCCGUCAGCACCACAUUUCUGCAACUGACAAACCUGAAUACUGAGGACACAACUGUGUAUUACUGUGCAAGAGAAAACCACAUCCAUAACCACUCAUAA